CUGUGAUACUUCGGCGACGCUUUUCUCAGACUGCAGGGCGAGGUUCCACACCGAUGGGGAAGUAAAAUGAUUCAAGUUCCAGGUAGCUGCUGAAGGCUGUCCCUCUAGCUCUUUGCUAACCCUGUGAGAAGAAUAUACCAUGGCUUCCUACUGGCUUCAAGAGGAGAAUGAAGAACUUGUAAAGCAGAACCUCCCCGGCAAACCCAAGGAUGAGGGAAGCCCUAUGGAAUGGUGGCAGUGCAUCAAAGACACCCAAUAAAUGUGAAUUGAUUGAAAGGAUCCUGGCGCACAGGAGAGGUUAUAUGAGGGCUAUGGUCAUCCAAGGCUCAGCUGGAUCUUGCUGGGCUCUGCUAAGCUGUGUAUAGCUUCUCAGGCCAGAUCAAAGAGAUACAGGAAAGGUGGAACCAUUCUCUGGGAUGUGCUUAUUAUAAAAAGCAGACCACAUGGCCAGGACAUUUAGCACAACUUUUGAAGAUUCUGCUUGGAUGAAGCACAUAAUUGACUCACUCACUAUAUUUGCCAGGAUAAGUCACAUGGACAAGAUUCACAAUGGAAUGAGGAAUCACAGUACAACUGCAGGUUUCAUGUUGUGAAGAAAUGACUCAGGGACCAUGUUGGUAAUGAAAGACAGAAGGUAAAGGCCCUGUUCCAGUACUGCUCAGUGGCAUCAGAAAUGCCUCCAGAUAUCGCCAAACAUCCUGUGGGAGUAAAAUUUCCCCUGUUGAGCACCACUGGUUUAAUAAGAAGCAACAAUAGAGGAUGGAAGAGGGGGAGAAAGAGAAGUGAUCUGGGUACCUAAAGGUACCUCAGCCCGGGGCAGGUCUAGAGCUUCUGUUUCCAUGUCUGUAAAACGGCGUCGAGAGCUGAGACUAUGGCUGAGAAGAGACCAGCAGGACAGUGUCUAUCACUGUUCUCUUCCUCCCAACCUCCCGCAGCUGCUGGACUCCCUCAAGUGCUCUGAGAAGCUCUAAGAGAUUGGUUGAAUAUGCGUUUCCAAGGGUCUAUAUCACCUCUCCUUGAACCUGGGCAAUCUUAUGACUUCUUCAACCAAUAUAAUAUAGUGCAUGAGCUCAUGAAAGACCAUACAGCUUCAUCUUGUUAUCUGGAACAUGCCUUCUUGGAGCACUGAGUCAUCAUGUAAGAUGACCUACUACCCUGAGGUUGCCAUAAGGAAGCCCAUGUUACAUGGAAAAGCCACAUAAAGACAUUCUGGUUGACAGCUCCAGCUAAAACCAAAUCUGAGCCAUCCUAGGCUGGCACACGAUAAAUAAGUGAAAUUGCAUCCAGAUGACGCCAGUCUCCAGCCAGUCAAGUUACUUCAACCAUUGCAGUCUUCUCAUCUCUGACCUCAGACAUCAAGGAGACAAGUCAUCCAACCUGUGCACGUCUGAAAUGUCCAACCCAUAAAGUUGUAAGCAUAAUAAAGUGAUAACUGUUUUAUGUUA